GCAGCACAGCAGUAGCAAUACUGUGGGUGGCGAGUGGCGGACGGGUGAGGAAUACAUCGGAAUCUGCCUUAUCGUGGGGGAUAACGUAGGGAAACUUACGCUAAUACCGCAUACGACCUACGGGUGAAAGCGGAGGACCUUCGGGCUUCGCGCGAUAAGAUGAGCCGAUGUCGGAUUAGCUAGUUGGCGGGGUAAAGGCCCACCAAGGCGACGAUCCGUAGCUGGUCUGAGAGGAUGAUCAGCCACACUGGAACUGAGACACGGUCCAGACUCCUACGGGAGGCAGCAGUGGGGAAUAUUGGACAAUGGGCGCAAGCCUGAUCCAGCCAUGCCGCGUGGGUGAAGAAGGCCUUCGGGUUGUAAAGCCCUUUUGUCCGGAAAGAAAAGCACUGGGUUAAUACCUCGGUGUUCUGACGGUACCGGAAGAAUAAGCACCGGCUAACUUCGUGCCAGCAGCCGCGGUAAUACGAAGGGUGCAAGCGUUACUCGGAAUUACUGGGCGUAAAGCGUGCGUAGGUGGUUCGUUAAGUCUGAUGUGAAAGCCCUGGGCUCAACCUGGGAAUUGCAUUGGAUACUGGCGGGCUAGAGUGCGGUAGAGGAUGGCGGAAUUCCCGGUGUAGCAGUGAAAUGCGUAGAGAUCGGGAGGAACAUCUGUGGCGAAGGCGGCCAUCUGGACCAGCACUGACACUGAGGCACGAAA
rnacentral:rRNA from 1 species